rnacentral:lncRNA from 1 species
UUGAACCUAUGGCUUAGGUCCAUCCGUGCAAGUAAUUGAUAUCCUUCAUGAGAUCUUUUCAAAAAAAUUAUAUUCACAAAGUGCUUUUCGUUUCUUAUAUAUGUGAGCUAUUUGAUUGCCUCAAAAUAUUUUCUCUCACAUAUAAUUGAGUGAUUAUAAGCUUUUAAGCAUUGUCUUGAAUUCUGAGAGAAGAAAGAGUGGAUAUACCUUGUGAGGAUAUGAAUCAUACUUGUUCGAAGCAUGCUUAACAGAAACCAUCAUCAUUGUCACAACCAAGUCCUACUUGUGUAUGUGUGGAUUAUAUGAGAUUUCUGAGACAAAAAGUUGAAGGGCAAUAGAGUCAUUGUUUUUGUAGAGUCUUUAAUUUUCGUUGAGUGUUAGUGUGUGUCUUAGUGUGAUUUUGCUAAGGGACUAGCAAAAGCUAAGUGUGGGGGAAUUUGAUAGGAGCAUUUUAAUGCGACGUUUUAACUGCAUUUCCCUACAUUUCUUACGUUAUUUCCUUAUUAAAAUCCUGUUUAGGAAAGUUUCCAUUCUUUGAUUGGGAAAGUUCCUAUUUGUAGAAAGUUUAUAUUUUUGUAGUUUCUAUUUAUCAUUUUUAGUAAGUUGCCAUUUUUCAUUUUAGGAAAGUUUCUAUUUUUCUUAUUAGUUUCUAUUUUUAGGACCUCCAAGCAAGUGGAAAAUCUUGAGGAGGAAAAUCAAAGUUGC